rnacentral:rRNA from 1 species
UACGUAGGUGGCGAGCGUUGUCCGGAUUUAUUGGGUUUAAAGGGUGCGUAGGCGGUCCUAUAAGUCAGUGGUGAAAUAUCGCAGCUCAACUGUGAGGGUGCCAUUGAUACUGUAGGACUUGAGUGAAUUCGAGGUAGGCGGAAUUGACGGUGUAGCGGUGAAAUGCUUAGAUAUCGUCAAGAACACCGAUAGUGAAGACAGCUUACCAAGCUUCAACUGACGCUGAGGCACGAAAGUGUGGGGAUCAAACAGG